AAUAAGUGCAGCCGUGGAUAUCCGUGCCCAACGUUUGACCAUCCGUCUUAUUUAAAAAAUUUGUGAAAAUAUUUAGUCACACAUAAAGUACUAUUCAUGUUUUAUCAUCUAAUAGUAAUAAAAAUACUAAUCAUAAAAAAAUUUCAAAUAAGAUGAACGGUUAAACGUUGAACGUGAAUAGU
rnacentral:pre_miRNA from 1 species